rnacentral:misc_RNA from 1 species
AAAAACAAAGUCUACGCCGGUAACUUUUACCCUUAACUUCCUCACGAGAGUUGUAGCAUUCUGUACUCACAAAAAGAACAGUUACUACACCAUACAUAGAGUCAUUCAUUCUCAAAAAAAUUCUCUCACACAUUAAACAGUGGGGAGCUCGCCGCAGUCGCUGAUGGUCACCUUCUUCUUCGGCUUAUCUCCCCGGUCAGUCUCUUGGGACUCAAUCAACCUCACGAUAUCCAUUCCCUCCAGGACCUGACCAAAGACCACAUGCUUCCCAUCCAACCAGGGUGUCUUUUCAGUGCAAAUGAAGAACUGGCUUCCAUUGGUGUUGGGCCCAGCAUUGGCCAUACUGACAAUUCCUGGUCCCACAUGGGUCAACUUAAAGUUUUCAUCUUUAAAGGUGCGGCCAUAUAUGCUUUUACCACCAGUGCCAUUUCCCUUGUCAAAGUCUCCACCCUGAAUCAUGAAAGAUUUGAUGACACGGUGAAAUGCGGAUCCCUUGUACCCAAAUCCUUUCUCCCCUGUACAGAGAGCACGAAAAUUCUCUGCAGUCUGCGGCACAUCGUCCCCAAACAAGCCGAUGACAAUCCUCCCAACCACAUUCCCCACAGGGUUCCCAAUGCUGAUCUCAAAAUACACCUUCUGCGUAACCUUCGACUGCAAAUCAGCUUCCUGUAACGCAGCGGAGGUGACGAGGCGGGCGCGGCGGAGGACGGGGAGGGGGGAGAAG